ACAUGUUCAAUAUCUCAGCUGUGGACAUUGUUUCCUUGCCAACAUGUUCAAAGUGAUUCACUUGCCUUGGAAAGAAGAAGGAUCAGACGAUUCUUGAACCAAAUUAAGAAAGCCAUCCAGUCUCCUCGAAAGAAGAAGGGUCAGCUAGAUAAACUACACACACUGAUACAAUGUUUUCUCGAAAUAUCUGACGUGUUUGAGUGAUUCGUAACUUGCAUGAACUACUAAGCAUAUCAUAUUGCUCUACGAGAUCUUAAUUCUAAGUAGGAGCCAAGCAGUGGGAUCCCCACUUGGAUUAGUUAAUGGAGGAGGACUCUUGAGGUGAAAAUAACUUGGGAAAGUGAUUCAGUCGCCUCGGUAAAAGGAGGGUCAGAUAGAAGAUUCUUGAUCGGAAACGAACCAAACUUAAGAAAGCCAUUCAGUCUCUGUGAAAGUACAAGGGUCAGAUCUCGAUUUCCAAGUACAUAUCAUACAAACGCAGUCAGGGAUCGAAUUCUAACUGUUGGAGAGUCUAUCUCACAUGAGACAACCAGAUAUUUUCUCAGUGCUAAGAUAGUGGAACUUUAUUCUACAAAGAACAAAUUUCUUGCCAAGAGCAAACGAGAGGUCAUAUAUCUAUCAGCUGCACAUAACAACAUUUCUAGGGUCGAUUUCUAGCCAAGAGCCUAUGAGAUCAGCAAUCAAGUGGCAAUUCAUAUCUCAAUUUGGAGACGAGAACAUUGAUUUGUACUCUUUGUUAACACAUUUUCCGUCAAGAUUAAAAGUAGAAAAUAUUAGCAACCAGUGAAAUUUUGGUUCAGUAGUCAAGAGAAAAUGAGGGGUUGUGUGUCCUGCUUCAUGGAGAUAUCUUUGAGGUCCAAAGAACAAAAAAUUUCGAAGGUAAAGCAUGUGGGAG